ensembl:lncRNA
GACAGUAACGGAUGGAGCUGUAGGGACCGUAACGGAAGGAGCUGUAGGGACCGUAACGGAAGGAGCUGUAGGGACAGUAACGGAAGGAGCUGUAGGGACAGUAACGGAAGGAGCUGUAGGGACAGUAACGGAAGGAGCUGUAGGGACAGCAACGGAAGGAGCUGUAGGGAAAGUAACGGAAGGAGCUGUAGGCACAGUAACGGAAAGAGCUGUAGGGACAGUAACGGAAGGAGCAGUAUUAGUAGCGAAGGAUGCUUAUUGACAGCAUGGAAUUGGGCCACUGCGCAAAUGAGGGGUAUUAUGAGACUAUAGUCGAGGGCCAUGUUGGAAAUAGCAAUGGUUACUAAGUAGCAAUGGUUACUUUAGUAGCAUUGUUGGGAUAUCAGUUUAUGACGACUCAUGUCACAUGGACUGGUAACUGGGGGACCAUGGGAGGACAGGUGAUGCGGUUAUUCAAAUAUCACAAAUGAUGUUGUCAGGAAAUGACCCAUGUGUUGCAGUGUGUGUAUAUCCUCAGGUGAAAGCAGAGAUAUAACCAAUGGCACAGGCUGAACACUGGAGAAUGAGUGUACAUCAAGAGACACCAGGCCGGGGAGUUGGGACAGCGUUGGUUUUGGACACACACUACUCCGUACAGUACCUGCAGUGGUAAAGAUUGUUAUGUGUCUCGUCAUGUGAAGUGAGGUUCAACUGCAUAAUGGGAACCAGACGGGGGAAGUAGAGAAUCUAAAAGCUGCUCCAUAUGACAUAUAACAAGACCGCAGAUUCAACUGGAAUGGAAUUUUGUUAUGUGUGAAAGAUGGAAAUAAAAGAUAGAUGGAAAUAAGAGGCCAUAAGUCUGAACUUGUAAACCUUGCGGUGAAUGUUUGUUCAUUGUUUGUUCCAUUUGUUUGUUUAAUUCAUGUUUUAUUGACAUUUUUUAUCCAUUUAUUAGUCAUUUCCAAGUUUAUAUAAAUGGCGUGGCUUUGGAAUAUGUUGGGGGAUGGGAGGAGAGCACUGUGUUGAUACAGGAAAGACAGAUGGACAUCUGUGGAUUAGGUUGAGGUCAGGAGGUGAGGUCAGAUCCCCUUAAGGGAGUAAUAAGGGUUAGGUAUCCUGUUAACCUUUUCCUGUUGAACCAUAAAAUAUAAGGAUUGGAGAGAAGGAGGAGUGUCUUAAGUGGCAUGUAUAUAACUGUGAUGGUGAGAAAUGUUUUGCUGUCUGAAUUACAGCUGUACAGAACCUUUGGGCAGAAUUCAACUUGGCUAAAGCUUCUCUAGUGUCCGUGAGUUAUUGACUCUGAAAAAUAAGAACCUAACACAUGAAACAUCAAUGCUUAUCUGUAUUUUGCACAUAUUCAUCCUCAUGAGGACCCUGGUCCUGAUCUGCCUCAGAGGACUGGACAACUAGACAAGCUGAUCUGCAUGGUUUACCAACAUUGGAUUAAAACAAGCUUAUAUAUUGGGUUCUGAUGGGGUACAGCAGUUGAACUAAGCUCAUGAGGAAUUUAUAAACACAUAUAAUUCAUAAGUUUUAAAAAAACAAUGUAACAACUAAGGAUUCUAGCUUGUAAAUAGAAACAUUGAUGGUGUACCUUGAGUUAAAUCCUUCACUUUCUAGGGAGGAAUUUGAACCUCCCCUUGCCUUCUUUCACAGCCUCAACCUGAGGAGGACUGGUAUCAUUAUGGGCCUUAUUGACAGAGAUGUUGGCUCCAACUCAUCUUUUCAGGUCUGCUGAUUUGAGGGAGGACUUGACACUAAAUAAUAUAUAUUUUUAAAGCCUGUGCACAAUAAUUUUGGAUGUAAUAAACUACUUUAAUGCAAAAAUAUUUUAAACACAUCUACAAAUAUAUUUGUUGUCGGCCUAAACAUUAUAGUUAUUGCACAAUGUCAAAAACCAAGUAAACAUGUUUUAAAGCCUGUUACAGUCAUUUCUGUUUAACAAACUGAUGUACAUUAAAAAAAAUAUAAAAAAAUAAAAUGAGUAUGUUGUGAAUUAAAGUGGUGAACAGUUUAGCAGUAAACAAGAGAAACGCUUUAAUGCACCACUAUUGGCUCUCUA